rnacentral:rRNA from 1 species
UACCAGACUCCUACGGGAGGCAGCAGUGGGGAAUAUUGCACAAUGGGGGAAACCCUGAUGCAGCGACGCCGCGUGAGUGAAGAAGUAAUUCGUUAUGUAAAGCUCUAUCAGCAGGGAAGAAAAUGACGGUACCUGAGUAAGAAGCCCCGGCUAACUACGUGCCAGCAGCCGCGGUAAUACGUAGGGGGCAAGCGUUAUCCGGAUUUACUGGGUGUAAAGGGAGCGUAGACGGCGAUGCAAGUCUGGAGUGAAAGGCAUGGGCUCAACCUGUGGACUGCUUUGGAAACUGUGCGGCUUGAGUGUCGGAGAGGCAAGUGGAAUUCCUAGUGUAGCGGUGAAAUGCGUAGAUAUUAGGAGGAACACCAGUGGCGAAGGCGGCUUGCUGGACGAUGACUGACGUUGAGGCUCGAAAGCGUGGGGAGCAAACAGGAUUAGAUACCCUGGUAG